GAGUGACUUGGAAAGGAACCUGUGAGUAUAUUCAGGAUGGGAAGGAGUGUGUGAACUUUUCUGGAGUAUUAUCCUAAGCCAUUAUGCGCUAUCUUUAUGAAGCACCUGGUCUGCCAUGUGCCACUUCCCAGGCACCCUCGCUUUUCACAUUUCACCUGUUGUUCUGCACGCUGCUGCUCUUUUGUAGCAAGUCUCAUUAAGUCCUGUUGUUAGGUAAGUCCUGUUGCUAGGUAAGUCCUGUUGGUAGGUAAGUCCUGUUGGUAGGUAAGUCUUGUUGGUAGGCUUUGUGCUAACUGACCUCCUGGAGCUCCACAAACACGUAAACAUUUUACUUUACUUAUCUUUCUCUAUGCAUGGUUCCGGAUUUUAAUCCUAGCUAUAUGAAAUAAAAUUAUUUGGUAUCACCUCAUCAGACAUGACAAAAUGAAGUAUAUUUAGCCCUAAAACUGAGUUUGUUAAUGGCAGUUUUUGAAUGGUAUGUAGGAAGUUGGGUAUUAUUAGUAGCACUUCGUUAGAAGUGUUCAAUAGGUAGAAAGCUAUUUGACGGAGAUUUGUCAUACAGUAAAAUCACAUUUACUUUUGAGCUCCUUUCCACCUACUCCAUCCUAAUAAUUGCUCUCCUAUUACCUAUAACCACAUGAAUCAUGUUGUUAAAAUGGCCUUUUUAAAAAAAGCAAUAGGAAGAAUGAAAAUAAUUAAGUUUCACAUAAAAGUGCCAGAGAGAUCUUUUAUACUCAGAUAAGUAACCGCCUAGGCUGAGCAGUCUGAGGAGCAGCAGUCUGUGAGGAGCGGCAGUCUGUGAGGAGCAGCAGUC